UACGUAGGGUGCGAGCGUUACUCGGAAUUACUGGGCGUAAAGCGUGCGCAGGCGGCGCGUUAAGACAGGUGUGAAAGCCCCGAGCUUAACUUGGGAAUUGCGCUUGUGACUGGCGUGCUGGAGUGUGGCAGAGGGAGGUGGAAUUCCAGGUGUAGCAGUGAAAUGCGUAGAGAUGUGGAGGAACACCGAUGGCGAAGGCGGCCUCCUGGGCCGGCACUGACGCUCAUGCACGAAAGCGUGGGGAGCAAACAGG
rnacentral:rRNA from 1 species